CGGACAAGGACAAUUUGCCUCAGCAUGAAGGACCUCCUCAUCUUCACUCUCUACAUAAGUUCAGGUAACCCACCCCCCACUAAAACGUUCUUAUACCAUAAACGUGAAAUAUGGCGAUUUUGAUUGAUUUGGGUUUUCCAGGUGGGGUAGCAGCCUUUAGUGUGAAGGGUUACUCUGGCGCAGCCGUUGUGAUGAACUGGGAUUAUAAAUCUCAGUAUAAGGACGCAGCCAAGUGCUUCUGCAAGUCAGAAGACACCGGUGGCUGCCGAGUCGUGGGAAACACCACGGCUGAGAACCUGUCCAUGACCUACGGGAGGUUCUCUCUGCUGGACAAUGCCACCAUCGGCGUCUUCUCUGUGCUCAUCACGCCGCUGGCCGCUCAGGAUUCUGGGACGUACUUGUGUUUGUACAAUCCGGAGUACAUGGAAGUGCAUCUUAUCGUCAAGACAGAUGCAUAUUUUGGAAGAUCAGUCUCCAUUCCUGGCUAUCUCCACGGGAACGUUGAGAUAAGCUGUGAGUAUCCCGCUGAGCACAAGCACAGCGUGAAGGUCCUCAGCAGUCCUGCUGGUAUCUUCGUCUCCUCGCUGACACCAGAGGACAGAGAGUGGGGGAAGUUCUCCCUGACGGACAACAGACAGGAUCGAGUCUUCACCGUCACUAUCGGGCAGCUGGACAUGGCCGACUCCGGAAUCUACUGGUGUGGCGUGGAGACCCAGGAGCCAUCGGCUUGGUACAUUACUGUUGUCAAGCAAGUGCACCUUCAGGUCACGUACCCAGACGGAAGUGCAGAGCAGGAAACGGCAGGCGUGGCUGUUUACGUCGCUGCUGGCGUCUGCGCAGCUGUUCUCAUCUGGGCCCCGGUCGUCGUCCUGUACUUCAAACUGACCAAUCGGGGCGGAGCAGCUGCGGGUAAAAAUCUGUUUCUACCAAAUGCAGAAGUACAAAUGAAUCAUUCUGCAAA
ensembl:lncRNA